GAUGAACGCUGGCGGCGUGCCUAAUACAUGCAAGUCGAGCGAACAGACGAGGAGCUUGCUCCUCUGACGUUAGCGGCGGACGGGUGAGUAACACGUGGAUAACCUACCUAUAAGACUGGGAUAACUUCGGGAAACCGGAGCUAAUACCGGAUAACAUGUUGAACCGCAUGGUUCAACAGUGAAAGACGGUCUUGCUGUCACUUAUAGAUGGAUCCGCGCCGCAUUAGCUAGUUGGUAAGGUAACGGCUUACCAAGGCGACGAUGCGUAGCCGACCUGAGAGGGUGAUCGGCCACACUGGAACUGAGACACGGUCCAGACUCCUACGGGAGGCAGCAGUAGGGAAUCUUCCGCAAUGGGCGAAAGCCUGACGGAGCAACGCCGCGUGAGUGAAGAAGGUCUUCGGAUCGUAAAACUCUGUUAUUAGGGAAGAACAAAUGUGUAAGUAACUAUGCACGUCUUGACGGUACCUAAUCAGAAAGCCACGGCUAACUACGUG
rnacentral:rRNA from 1 species